GGUGAGUAACGCGUAUCCCACCUGCCCAUCACUUGGGGAUAACCUUGCGAAAGUAAGACUAAUACCCAAUGACGUCUCUAGAAGACAUCUGAAGGAGAUUAAAGAUUUAUCGGUGAUGGAUGGGGAUGCGUCUGAUUAGCUUGUUGGCGGGGUAACGGCCCACCAAGGCAACGAUCAGUAGGGGUUCUGAGAGGAAGGUCCCCCACAUUGGAACUGAGACACGGUCCAAACUCCUACGGGAGGCAGCAGUGAGGAAUAUUGGUCAAUGGGCGAGAGCCUGAACCAGCCAAGUAGCGUGCAGGAAGACGGCCCUAUGGGUUGUAAACUGCUUUUAUAAGGGAAUAAAGUGAGUCUCGUGAGACUUUUUGCAUGUACCUUAUGAAUAAGGACCGGCUAAUUCCGUGCCAGCAGCCGCGGUAAUACGGAAGGUCCGGGCGUUAUCCGGAUUUAUUGGGUUUAAAGGGAGCGUAGGCCGGAGAUUAAGCGUGUUGUGAAAUGUAGACGCUCAACGUCUGCACUGCAGCGCGAACUGGUUUCCUUGAGUACGCACAAAGUGGGCGGAAUUCGUGGUGUAGCGGUGAAAUGCUUAGAUAUCACGAAGAACUCCGAUUGCGAAGGCAGCUCACUGGAGCGCAACUGACGCUGAAGCUCGAAAGUGCGGGUAUCGAACAGGAUUAGAUACCCUGGUAGUCCGCACGGUAAACGAUGGAUGCCCGCUGUUGGUCUGAAUAGGUCAGCGGCCAAGCGAAAGCAUUAAGCAUCCCACCUGGGGAGUA
rnacentral:rRNA from 1 species